GAUGAAGAAAAAAGUCCAUCUCAACACACACCCACGAUCCCCACCGGCCCAUCCCCUCCUGAUCCCCACCUUCCCCAUAGCGCUGCCGGUUCCUGAUCUGCCGCCCUCCAUCGUGCUCUUCAGGCCACCGGAGCCGCCGCCCACCAUCAUGUGCUGCCGGCCACGGGAGCCACCGCCCACACCCAUGCCCAUUGCCAUCUGCUGGUCGCCGCCAUCCCUAGAUCCCCUUGCGCCGCCGGGCUGUGGAUCCCCGAACACCGCCUCCAGGCAGUGGAGCCCCGUGCGCCGCCGCGGACCUCCACAUCCAUCCUCCGCCAUGGAUCCCAGGUUCCCCGCCGCCCCUAUCUGCCACCGCCGUGGCCCCCAGCUUCCCGGCGCACCAUCCACUUCCGCCAUUGCCAUGCAUCGCUGCCGCCCGAUAUGAUGAGGCGCGGCCGCGUCCCAAGCCACUGCCUAGCUCUAGCAUCUCCCCGUGUCCACGCCACCGGACGGUGAGGGAGACCUAACCGGCCGCCCGCGUUCUGCUGUCCUUCUACGACCUGUUAGUUACCAUGUCAAAACCGCACGGUUGGUUGAGGUUCGUUCGGUGGCCUAGUUUGCUUGCCUCUGUCACCUUGAGAUGUUGGCUGCUGCUGCUAACUAAGGUUUGUUUACUGUUGCUUUUCUGUACGGCACACAUCGUCUAACAAGUAACAGGUGACAUGGCGAGGUUAUCUGCUGGCUGGCUCUACUCUUCUGAAGAUGGAGAUUAGUAGUAUGGGUACACAUUGUUCUGCUAUCCUUCUACGACCCUGCCUCCACAGGGCUCGGCCUGGAGCAACUUCUCUGAAUUUCCCAACGUGGCCGCAUCACUUCUGAGACCCCGCGCGCCUUGACUUUCCCAACCUCGUCCAUUCUGCCUCCGUUGUACCCUAUUUUUUUGUGAAGGACGCUCUCCCCUAUUAGUUGAACUUCUCGCGAGGGCCGCCUUGACCUUUUCUGGGACGGUUAGAGCAUACGACAACCACAAAAAUCGUCAUCGACUGAGAGAUGGAGCACCUAAUUUUCCAGUUCCUGGAAAUCUUAUGGAGUUUGUUUCUCGAUUAACUUGCGUGGACCUUCAAUCGUUCACCCUAAACCUACCACCUCCUGAGCCUGAAUGGAAAAUGUCUCAGUGCAGUGUGUGUAGUACCAAGAAAUUCUACCAUGGGUCUACGUCAAGUUCAUAUUUUUGUGUUCAGUAAAAAAAUCUUAGUGCGAGUGUGUGCAGUACCUGGAAGUUCUACUACAGGUCUACGCCAAGUUCAAUGACAUUGCCGCCGGCAAAAUGUUCAGACAAUGUGGGUGACUAUAUCGUGUGUUCAAAGCAAUUUGUUUCAGCAAGGCCGAAUUCAUCGUGUGUUCUUGGAUCGAAGUUCACAUAAAGAAAAUGGCAGAAGGUCAAUUUUGAAUGUGAUCCCACCUUGUAACAUAUGCUCAUACGCAUGCGGUGAUUCGGAAAUGCUGCCGAGGACAGAGAGUGGAGACGUCAAGGAGCCACUGCGUGAGCUAGUUACAUCACGAUUUGGACCAUGUUCCCAACCUGCAUGCGAUACAUUCCUUAGCUAUCAGCAGCCACAUGUUUACGUGGUUGACAUCAACAAAAACUUCAGUUUUUUGUGGAUGUUCUGUAUUAACAUGUUUUAUUUGUACGUUCUAGAAUAACUACCGAUGUUAUGUCAUUGCUGCUCAAUUUCUAGUC